GUUCAGUAUUACAGACAUAAAUGAAGGAAAGGGACCUCAGUUAGGAAAAAAGAUCGCCAUUUGUUACAUGUGAGUUCUCAGUGGAAGAGAUUUGAUUUCAGCGGUCUAAAAUAAAGACAAAUAAGUCUAUGGGGCCUGAUGGGUUACACUCAAGGUUAUUACCAUUAACGGAUUUAUAAUCCAAUCAUUGUUAACUGGAGUAGUCCCAGAAGAUUGGAAAUGAACUAAUGUGCCAAUUCACAAGAAAGGUAGUAGGGAGGAGUCAGGC